rfam:Stegodyphus mimosarum contig116234, whole genome shotgun sequence.
GCCUUUGUAGUGUAGUGGUCAGCACGUUCGAUGCGUAACCGAGAGGUCCGUGUUUCGAUUCCCGGCGAAGGCG